rfam:Gossypium arboreum cultivar AKA8401 contig_80564_1, whole genome shotgun sequence.
AAACCAUGCAUAGGACAUUUUUUUAAGUAAUUCCUUAAAUAUUUCCCAGGCUUUGUAAAAUGUUUCAUCCUUUGAUUUCUGAAAAGAUAUGAUGUCAUUUCUAAGGUU